GGCAACACGUAUUUACGAAGAUGUAAACAGUGCCAAUGGACUUUGUACCCGGCUAAUAAAUAAAUUUAAAAAAAAAUGUAAACAAAAAUGGAAUUAGCAACAGAGCAACUGGGGUCUGGGAGUUUUAAAAUUACACAUGUCAAAUGUUAGUAUAGUAUUUUAUGCUAGAAUUAUGUCUGUCAGUGGAAAUCAAGGACUGGGAGGCCGGUGCCUGCUUUACCGCUAGGGAAUUGUCAAUUGAUAGAGGCGAAAGUUUAACAGUUAACUUGUUUUAAUUUUUUAACUCGGUGCUAAAUGUUUAGCAAAAUAUAGAUAUGUAAUGAGAAACAAAGAUAUAAAGUAUGGACAAAUUCAAGAUCAAUGAAAUAACCAAUUGUUUGCUUAAUCAACACGACAAAAAGGAGCUAUGUGUCCUUUUAAAAAAUGAAGAAAUAUAUCGCUGUCGAAUCUGUACAAGAGGAUAUUUGAAAAAUGUUGACUAUAAAAAGCAUAUACUGUCACAUGUUACGAGUGCCUAUAUUAAAUUAAGACAGCAAAAAAUAUAUAGAUGCAAAUUAUGUACAGCUGGCUUCCUUAAAAGUGAUGAAAAAAAUUUACACUUACUCGAUCAUGCUAAGAAAAAUUUUAUUAAAAUACGUAAAGAAAAGGAAAUUGCAGAUAAACAUUAUUAUAAUAAAAAUAUAGUUAGAAAACAUGAAUGUCCAGAUUGUUGUAGAAAAUUUACUUCUAUUACUGUACUGGAAGAACAUUCAAAGCUGCAUAAGCCAUUUCCAUAUCCAUGUUUCUGUGGGAUUGCAUAUCUCAGAGAAAUUGAUUUCAUAGGCCACCAAAAGCUUAUCCACAGUAAUAACAAUAACCAAUCAAAACCAAAAACUGUUAAGGAAGAAUCACACAAAAAGACGCCAAUAGCAAAAACUAAAGCUAUUAAACAUAUUGCUAAGAAAAUGAAGAAAAAAAAUAAACAAACAAAUCUCAAAGUGGAGUGUUCAGUUUGCUGUAAAAUAGUUAAAAAAUAUUACCUACCUCGUCAUAUGGAUAUUCAUUCAGAUAACAAGCCAUUUAAAUGUAAUAUUUGCAAUCAAAGUUUUAGGCAAAACUGCGGCUUGUACAACCACAUGUCUGUACAUAAACCGAGACAGGAAUUUCCCUGCCAGUAUUGUGGUAAAGUAUUUAAAUGUAAAACCAAUAUGAUUAACCAUAUAAACAUACACACUGGUGUAAAACCUCACGUGUGUAAGUAUUGUAAUAAACCAUUUGCUGAUCCAUCUGCUUUAUUGAGGCAUGAACGAAUUCACACAAAGGAUUAUAAAUAUUUUUGUGAUAAAUGUGACAAAAAAUUCACAGAUAGUAGUGGUUUGAUUGGGCACAUAAAAAUACAUGGAGAAAAACAAUAUGCUUGUGAGAUAUGUAACAAGUCAUUUCUGUCCAAACAAAACUUUAUGAAACAUUUAAUAAUUCAUACUAAAGUAAAGAAAUUUGAAUGUGACUAUUGUAAUAGUAAGUUUUCAUUAAAACAAUAUCUUUUUCGACAUAUACAAAUGUCAUGUAAGGUCAGGAAAUUAAAGGAAUAAUUGUUUUGAGGAAUUUAAGAAACAAACCAACACUGAUCUGAUCACCUAUUUGAACAGAACAUUGUAUAUGAAACAUAAAAACGUGUUAUUCAACACACAGAAAUAGUAACUAAUGGACAAGUAAGACUUUGCUUACAAAUAUUUUAAGAUUUUUCAUUUCUUUAUUCUAUUGUUUAUAAGAAUUGACUGAUUAAAAUAAUUUAAAUAUAUAGUAUUUUUUUAUUCAGUGUUCAUAUUAAGUUAUUAAACAUGCGAUUUUCACCUCUGACGGCGUGCGUUCGAGUCUCGUUUUUUUCCAGUACAGAAAUUAUCUAAAGCUUUGGUCUGGUGAUCAUGACGCACAACGCUGCGGUAUGCGUUGCCGGACACUCAAUCAUAAUGGUAGCUGUACACACUCGGCGAGACACCCCGAGACAGGCCGAGGGCGAGAGUGUACAGUAGAGCUCUCGUCUCGCCUCGCUUCCUCGCAGUCGGUCGGUCGCCUGUCGGUUUUUUGCGCACGAGUCAAAGGGUCUCGCGAGUAAAACGAGAGCGACCUGUACACAUUCGUUCAAUCACUUGCUCGAUGACUGUGGUUAUUGUGGUUAUUAUGUGUUACAGCAGCGGUUUCCACGUCCAUUAUAAACGGUGUUUUAAAUACAAAUAACGUAACGAGUGUGUACAGGCUGCGCUCUUCUCUCGGUCCUCUCGGUCGAGACUCUCGGCGAGAGGCUCUCGCCGAGUGUGUACAGCCACCAUAAUAUGAAAAACGACGAGAAUGUUCUCUUGUUCCGUCGCAGUAUGCGUCAGCGGCGAGGGGCAAGCGCGGUGAAGUGGGGAGUUGUACUGCCGCACAGCGCGGCGUCAUUCUCGUUUCAACGGUGCGGUGUGCGUCACUGAGUCAAUAUGGAAUUUUUCGAAGACAAUUUAAUAGAAUUAGUUCGCAACUAUCCUUCUUUGUAUAAAAAUAAAGACAAAAAACAUACAAGUUUGUUGGUUAAAGAAAAUUGCUGGAGGGAGAUAGCUAAGAAGUUGAAUAAAACAGGGACGCUAAAUGCUGCGUCGUGACGCUGCGUUGCGGCGCAUACCGCAGCGUUGUGCUUCAUGAUAACCAGACCAAAGCGUAAAGCUGCGUAUAAAAAAAACGCGGCAAACCAUCGAACAUCGAAGCGCGCGACGGCCGCGAUCUAUGUGGACGCGAUCAAUGCCGCGCUCGUGCCGCGGGGCGAUCCGCUCUCUGUCGGUUUUUGAGACCGCACCAAAGGAGUUUCAACCGUUCGCUCGCUCGCAGUGGUGACGGUUGUAGUUUUGGUCAUUUGGCUCGCGCGGCUAUUACGUAAAAAUGGACAACGAAAAGUGCCGUUUACUAAUACUAGAUAAUAAAUUGUAUAGCGCUAAAGAUUUUUUUGUAGAACAGCAAAUCCUCCUAAUACCACAUUAAAUCGCCGAGGUGAUGGUGAUGCGUGGGUAGAAAUCAAAGCCGAAUGUAAAAAGCGAUGGCGUUCAUUGCGGGAUUCAUUCAUAAAACUGCAGCGGACUCACGGUGGACGCACGCGUUGGCCAUACCACAAUGCCAUGAGGUUCCUUUUACCACAUAUAGAACCGAAAUCUGAAACUUU